GAUGAAGAACGCAGUGAAAUGCGAUAAGUAAUGUGAAUUGCAGAAUUCAGUGAAUCAUCGAAUCUUUGAACGCACAUUGCGCCCCUUGGUAUUCCGAGGGGCAUGCCUGUUCGAGCGUCAUUAUAACCCCUCAAGCUCAGCUUGGUGUUGGGGCCUGCUGCACUGGCAGCCCUUAAAAUCAGUGGCGGCGCCAUCUGGCUCUAAGCGUAGUAAUUCUUCUCGCUAUGGAGUCCUGGUGGAUGCUUGCCAUCAACCCCCAAUUUUUCUAUGGUUGACCUCGGAUCAGGUAGGGAUACCCGCUGAACUUAAGCAUAUCAUAAGCGGAGA
rnacentral:misc_RNA from 1 species